UUUAUUAUUGGAUAUACAGUACACUUUAUUCAUUAACGAUUAAUGUGUUAAUUUUGGCAGCAUUAAUUUAUACACGUGUGCAUAUUAUUUAGCUGUUGAAGUCUGUAUGAGAUGGAAUGUUUCAGAAACAGUUAUGUUGCACAUUGUAUAAAACAAAUGUCCUGCUUCAUGUCCUCCUACACUCAUAUGUCCAUACAUAUUCUGUGGAUUCCUCAUCUUGUUUUCCUCGCUAACUACUCCAUCAUCCCUCUGUCAACAUGUCCACGUCUCUGUCUUCAGCACGUGUCUAAACUGUGUCAACAUUCUCUCUCUUCUAACUUCAUCUCCUUAGCCGUUCCCAACAUGUCAUUAGUCACCACACAGCCAACGCUAACUUCAAAAUAACAGGAAAUACAUUUGUAAUCAGAUUUUUUUUUCUUUUUAUUAUUACACGUGAUAACAAUUUUCUAAUCAAUGUCUAAUUUUGGGAUCGUGCUCGUGCGUCUGUGCUGAUGUCUGAUCAAUGUGCCACACUGCUGUGUGAUGAUGAUCACCUCUAAUGGUUGUCAUUAUCACAAAUGACCUGAUUACUGCAUCACUGUUGUGGAAAACACACAGGAGAUUCAACAAACCAGCAAUAAACAGGAGUCUGCUGUGUUUGACACUGACAUGUUUACAUGAAGACAUGGGUUUGACAGAGUUUUUACUGAGCCCUAACCAGCAUGACCUUCAAUUACAUUAUCAUUCAGUGACAUUCAUAUGUAUUUUAGCCUCAAUUCUUUGUCAGCAUUGGUAGAGGUGUAAGAUGUUUUGUGUAGAUGAGAGGCAUCACUACAAAUGGUUUUCAAAAUUGAAUUAAGGUCACAGAGUAAAUUUAAUAACAUUUUAAUAACAAAAUUACUGUAAUGACUGAAAAUAGCAUGUUCUGUAGAAGAAGUGUCAUUUGUUGAGAGUUGACAACAUUUUUCAGUCCAUGGAUCUGUGGAUGUUGCAGGACUGAUCCGGUCACAGUCUGGUCUCCUGACCAAUUACACAACACCACUCUGUAUGUUGUGGAGUUAAAGGUAAGCACCUUUCUGCCUCCACUUUGCUCAUUCUCCCCAUACAUUACCCAUAUGUGUAUGUUUUUUUCUCCAGAUAUUCCAGGUUCCUCCCAGAGCUCAACAACAUGAUCACCAGGGGAAUCCGUUGAUGGGACACUAUAAAAUUAACCAAAGGUGGAAAGUGUGUCUCUAUUUGUGUGUGAUGGUAUACACCGCCCUCAUCCGUUGACGGCUGGGAUUUGCGCCACCCCCUGACCCUUGACAUCUCAUCUGUAGGGUUCUUCUUCUCCACGGUGACAGAUCAGCUGAAAGAGGAAAAGGAACCGUUGGAGAAAGAUUUUCUAAUUUUGCUCCAGGCUCCAGGCUCCAGGCUCCAGGCUCCAGGCUCCAUGCAGAGCAGGAUCAUGUCAGGGUUUGUAUCCAGAGGAAGAGGCUCCAGUCCCUGCAGCACCUCAGUUCUCAAUGUCUGCCUCAUUUGCUCAGCUUUUGAUUAUGAAUUAAAAAGGGGGAUUGCAAAUGCUAUGCCGUCGGUUGGCCCUCCUGAUUGCCAUAUUUGAUUAAGGAAAUGUCACUGCGCCUGCUUCUCCACGUGGAUCUCUUUUUUUAGCUGCACUAACGUUCGCACAUGCACCGGGAACACAAUGGCCGCGCGGCUCUCAGAAGAAAACCGCCACCAGCAGCAAACUUACGCUAAUCAAAUGCAUUCUUCCAGCCGUCUCCCUUCACUCUGGGUUUUUUUUUUAUAAUUUCGGCCUCUUUUCUCUUUUUUUGCCUUUUCAAGACUCUUGGUUUUUUGUAUCUGCAGCACGACACGCCAACAAGGAUAAAUCAGAGACAAUUAAAGAGACAAAGAGCAGGUAGAAGACAGAAUAGAACAAGAACACGGGUUUAUUCUUCUCUGAGGACUAAAAUCAAGGCCGACUCAACUCUGUCUCCUAAAAUGACAACUUCUGACUUUUAGACCAACCAAUCUGUGCAUCAGAUUUUAACCACACCUGGUUAUUAAAGGAAAUGUAUAUAAUGUGUUAUCUUCUGUUAAGGCAGCGGAACUUUGAACUCAUCUGAAAUAGUUUCUAAUAGAAUAAAAAAUAAUAAUUACAACUUUGGAGACUCGUCAGUGUCAGUGUCAACCUGAUGCUCCAGUAACAGCCAGGCUGUAAAAUAACGUUUUGAAUUUUUCAUAAACAUUCUCACUUUAAAUUAUUUUAAAUUAUUUAUUCCGUGCAAAAAAAAAAACAGUUUAAUUUAGAUGUUUUUUUUUAAUUUGCAUUGUUUGCAGCCAAUUAAGAAAAAAAUGAAAAAGAAACAGAAGUAAACAGAUUUUUUUUUUAAUGUUUCAGACUCUCAACUUUAUGAUUAAGUCUUUGUCAAAAUCACAAUGACGUCUUCACCAGCCUCAUAGUCAUUUUCAUUUUUCAAUGCAAAACAAUUUUGGUGAAUUGAUUUCCAUCCCGUCAUUUCUGAAACCUAUUACACAGAAACGACCACUUCAGUGUGUAAAAAAUAAAAAAUAAAAAACAUUCAAAUGCACUGUCAGUUUUGCACUUCAUUAUUGACAGUUUUACUUUGUAGUUUGUCCUUGUUCAUUGUGUAUGACUGAACUUAAAAAAAGUCACCGCACCAACUGCUGCCUUCAGAUAAUAGGCUGUUAUAAAGUUAUAAUGGAGGCAUUUCUGCAUCA